AAACGUGUAAACUCGAAUGCUUUUCAGUUAAAUUUCUUGGGUCUAUUUGAAAUAUUUUGGGUUUACACAAGUGCUAAUUCAAUUUGUAAACAAACUGUAAUGGCGGUAGUAUGAACACACAUAAAUUCUGCCCGCAUUAGUUCGCUCGCACGUAGUGUGAACGUAGUCUAAUUUUCGGUGACGUUUUCAAACGGCGAGGUAGCCUUUAGAAAGAUUUAG